rnacentral:lncRNA from 1 species
UACUGGGUCACCACUGAACAUGGUCCAUAAUAUUUCUCCUCAAACUCAAAUGAAAAUUCAACUUGUUUUAUUUACCAGCUCAUAAAGUUCCUGAAGAUGGAUAAUUUUUUCUCAUGAGCUUCCAGGAGCUGGUGUCAGCACACCACUGUUUGUCUGAUGAGUGAGUAACACUUCCUGGAGAAGGUGAAACCUCAAGUGAGUCUUAACAGAAAGCCAAAAAGAAGCGAUAGGAAGGAAGCGACACUGUGCCUUAUGAAAGUUUGGUUAUGAAAAACCUUCUAGAGAAUUAACUUUGAGUCAACAUUCCCUACUCCUGUUGUUUUGAGAAGGUAAGAUUUUUUUUUCUCUCUCUCUCAAGGCACUUUUCUUAAGUUUGAGAAAAGUUCACUCUAUAUUUUGGGCUUAUAUAAUUUUCUCCAGGCCCCCAAAUUAGCCCAUGAUUGCUUCAGUAUUCAUGUUCACUUGAUGCUCGUAAGAACCUACCAAGGCCACGGUGUAUAACAUAAUCCCCUUAAUAUUCCUUACAUGUUUUUAAAAAGAAGGGCAAUGAAUCAUUUUUCAGGGAUGCUUAACCAACUGAGAGAACAGACUGG